UUUAUCCUUUUCCUCCCUCUCUCUUUCCUCAUCUAUGGCUUCAAACUUUAUCAAUGUCAAAAUAUCAACGCUAAAUUGCAGACAUGGUGCACCUAUUUUUUCAAGUGAAAUAUUACUUCUUUGAUUUUUAGGAGAUACCAUUUAAGAUCUUCAUCAUUCAUUUCUAUGACAAUAUUACAGCAGAAGCCUGGAUCAAGCUAACAACAUCAAGGAAGAAUAUGAAAGAUGUGUAUGCGGGAGAAGUUAAAAAAUGCAUCAUAAAGGAUUGAAAUGGUACCUAUUGCGGUGCUGCUAUAUUUUGGUGCAUCUGCAAUGAACAGAAUCAAAGAUGUUUUCAUGGGAUUUCAACACCUACGCAUGUACUCGAAGCAAAAUAUUUAUUAUUAUUUUUACUUGGCUCAAGCAGGCCCCUAUAACUAGGUUGUGUUCUACUUUUGAAUUGUGUUUGCUCCUUAUUGACUGAAUAGUUAUGUUAUGUAUAUGAGCAGAUGACUAUAUACCUCUUUUGUAAAAUUCAAAAUUAAUUACACAUUCUUGAAGUGAAAAAAAAUCAUCAUUUCUACUUAA